GGCUGGGUCCCGUGCGACUGGCUAUCGCCGAACCCCGUCAGGUCCGGAAGGAAGCAGCGGUAAGCGACCGGUCAGGGCGCCGCGGUGUGCUUGGCUAUC
rnacentral:SRP_RNA from 1 species